rnacentral:rRNA from 1 species
UACAGAGGGUGCAAGCGUUAAUCGGAAUUACUGGGCGUAAAGCGUGCGUAGACGGUUAUUUAAGUCAGGCGUGAAAGCCCUGGGCUCAACCUGGGGACGGCGCUUGAGACGGGUGGGCUUGAGGACGGAAGAGGCUCGCGGAAUUCCCAGUGUAGAGGUGAAAUUCGUAGAUAUUGGGAGGAACACCAGUGGCGAAGGCGGCUCACUGGGCCGGAACUGACGCUGAGGCGCGAAAGCGUGGGGAGCAAACAGG